CCUCUCAGCCCUUCACUGUCGCCUCUCACUCCGUCAUUCACCAGCGGCUACUAGCCUUGAUGGAAGAGGUGGAGAGGAGGGAAAACAUCAUUUCUGGGAAGCAUGAUGAUGUGAAGGGUGUGGUGACAGCAAGCAAGAGGCAGGCGUGGGAGGAACGGUGUCCAAUGGAGCGUGGAUGAACUUCAACGAAAGUUCAGCCUGAAGUCCCAGCAGGGCGAAAAACAAAGCUGUCUGCACAAAUAAAGCCUAUUCAAGGCACAGGUAGUGGGCCUCCUGCUGCUGUGGAGUACAGCGAGGCUGAGCUAGUACUUCUGCGCAUGCAGGCACCCAUUGCGGCAACAGGGGCACCCUAUCCUGACAGUGAGGGCCAGCCUUUACGUGCCUUUGCUGGACCUUCCUCAUCUACAAGUGUUGUUGAAGAUGACCUGUUUCCCUCGAUGAGUACGACAGUAAUCGAGGUGUCAGAGGAGGUUAGAACACCUCUGGGUUCACCUCAAGGGAGUGGCCUCACAAGUAGUGAACCAACACGAGAGGAGCCCCCACCAUCGGCCUCAUCCAGUGCCCGACGACCCAGUGCCCAAAAACCCAAAGGAAAUUCGAGAUCUGCUGAAGGACCUGGUGGAGGAGCAACGGACGAAUGGAAACCAUCUUCGGGAUAUCGCUCAAGGUCUUACGGAAAUGGGGAAGUUAGGCAACCAGGUACAGGAUGUUGGCCAAAGUCUUAGGGAAAUAGGCGAGGCAUUGAUGGUCAUAACGGGGGCUAUCAGUUCUAGAAAGUAGUUUUUUAAGUUAUUAUUGUCAUAAAUUAAGAUUUGAAUAUUUCUAUAUAAAAAUAGUUUAUAUAAUCAUUUUCAUUAUUAACUUUAAGAUCUUUGAUGGUGCUUGUCAAGCCAAUGCCACAGAGGGGGGAUAUCCAGCACGACAGGAAUCAUUCCAUAUUUUUUCUCUCUUAGUGCAUUAUGAUGUGCCACUAUAAAAAAAAAAUCAGAGAGAACCAUCAUACAAUGAAUAGGAUGAUGCCUAUUCAUGAACGUUAAAAGACAAGAUAGCUAAAGUUUAUUUUUUGCCAAGUUGUGUUA